GGCUCUGUGGCGCAGUGGCUAGCAUGUUGGACUUCUAAUUCAAAGGUUGUGGGUUCAAAUCCCACCCGAGUCA